AUCGGGUAAAGUCAACCAGUAUUAUAAAUACCCGAAACUGCCGUCAAUUGGACGCAUUUGCGCGCAUGCGUGGUUCCAGUACGGAUCGAGUAGACGGACGUCAGAAGCUUCAUUAUUACAGAUCGUGUUUGGUUUACUGGAGAACUGCUUAUUAAUCAGCCAUGUCCGAAAGAAAAGUCUUAAAUAAAUACUACCCCCCGGAUUUUGAUCCAUCAAAAAUCCCUAAAUUAAAACGCCCUAAAGAUCGUCAGUAUGUUGUUCGACUGAUGGCUCCUUUUAACAUGAGGUGUAAGACUUGUGGAGAGUACAUCUACAAAGGAAGGAAGUUUAAUGCUCGGAAAGAGACGGUGCAAAAUGAGCUGUAUUUGGGCGUGCCCAUCUUUCGUUUUUAUAUUAAAUGCACGAUAUGUCUGGCAGAGAUCACGUUUAAGACCGACCCUGAAAACACCGAUUACAUAAUGGAACAUGGUGCAACGAGAAACUUUCAAGCCGAGAAGCUGAUUGAAGAAGAGGAGAAGAGGAUCCAGCAGAAGAGAGAGGAAGAGGAGUUAAAUAAUCCUAUUAAGGUGUUAGAGAACCGAACACGGGACUCAAGGUUGGAGAUGAAAGUCCUGGAGAACCUGCAGGAGCUAAAGGAGCUGAAUCAGCGACAGGCUCGGGUGGAUUUUGAGUCCAUGCUGCAGCAGUCCAGUGACCUGGAGAAGAGACGGAAGGAACAGGAGCAGGAGGAGGAUGAAAGAGAACUUCAAGAAAUGCUGGAGAUGGCGCGGGUGAAAAGGCUGAGGGAUUCGGACUCGGAUUUAAACUCGGACUCUGAUCAGGAGCAAGAAAACGUGAAAAAGAUGCUUAAAAGGCUUAAAAAGGCUCGUGCUUAUGAGAAAUCCACAGACAUCCUGACUGCAGGCACAGAAACAUAUACAAAGAGAGUUUUUGUUCCAAACACUAUCCAAUAGACAAAUGAUGCCAGCUGAUUCAGAGGAACUUGUAGGGUAGAUGUUCCACAUGAACUUAAAUGAAAUAGGGCUGUUGUUAGAGCGACUAUUUACAGCUGCUGUAAACGUGUCAACGUGUUUGGAGUGAAGCGUAAGAAAUGUGAGUUUUACAGCUGGGGAGAACUAAAGUCACUAGUAUCGAGGAAGAAGCCUGCAGCAAUAGCUAGAGCACAACAGCCUGUUGCUGGAACUCAGACUGGU